UUGGCGGCCAGUGGCGAACGGUUGANUAAUAUAUCGGAACGUACCCAGAAGUGGGGGAUAACGUAGCGAAAGUUACGCUAAUACCGCAUACGAUCUACGGAUGAAAGUGGGGGACCUUCGGGCCUCAUGCUUGUGGAGCGGCCGAUAUCUGAUUAGCUAGUUGGUAGGGUAAAGGCCUACCAAGGCGACGAUCAGUAGCUGGUCUGAGAGGACGACCAGCCACACUGGGACUGAGACACGGCCCAGACUCCUACGGGAGGCAGCAGUGGGGAAUUUUGGACAAUGGGCGCAAGCCUGAUCCAGCAAUGCCGCGUGAGUNAAGAAGGCCUUCGGGUUGUAAAGCUCUUUUGUCAGGNAAGAAACGGGAUUGGCUAAUAUCCGAUCCUAAUGACGGUACCUGAAGAAUAAGCACCGGCUAACUACGUGC
rnacentral:rRNA from 1 species